CGUGAGUGAUGAAGGCUUUCGGGUCGUAAAGCUCUGUCAAGUGGGAAGAACCCGCGCCGCACAAAUAGUGCGGUGCGCUGACGGUACCACUGAAGGAAGCACCGGCUAACUCCGUGCCAGCAGCCGCGGUAAUACGGGGGGUGCAAGCGUUAUUCGGAAUCAUUGGGCGUAAAGAGCGCGUAGGCGGUCUUCUAUGUCAGGUGUGAAAGCCCGGGGCUCAACCCCGGAAGUGCACUUGAAACUGGGAGACUUGAGUAUGGGAGAGGGAAGUGGAAUUCCUGGUGUAGCGGUGAAAUGCGUAGAUAUCAGGAGGAACACCGGUGGCGAAGGCGACUUCCUGGACCAAUACUGACGCUGAGGCGCGAAGGCGUGGGGAGCAAACAGGAUUAGAUACCCUGGUAGUCCACGCAGUAAACGUUGAACACUAGGUGUAGCGGGUAUUGACCCCUGCUGUGCCGCAGUUAACGCAUUAA
rnacentral:rRNA from 1 species